rnacentral:RNase_P_RNA from 1 species
CGAGUAAGUCGGAUGAUCGCGGGGGCAGAUUUGCCAACGAGGAAAGUCCGAGCUCCACAGGGCAGGGUGCUGGGUAACUCCCAGUGGAGGCGACUCCAAGGAAAGUGCAACAGAAAUAGACUGCCGCUUUUGCGGUGAUGGUGGAAAGGUGAGGUAAGAGCUCACCAGCGGUUAGGCGACUAACCGGCUCUGCAAACCCCACCUGGAGCAAGACUAAAUAGGGGAACCUAUGCAGUUGCCCGCUGCGUUCCCGGGUGUAGUCGCUUGAGGUGUUAGGCAACUAACAUCCUAGAUAGAUGAUCAUCCAAGACAGAACUCGGCUUACAGACUUAUCUCGCAUA